AAAACAUAACAUCUUCUAACCAGAUUUCUGACCACAUAAAUUGGUCAAAAAUACUUUCGACCAUAAACUGACCAUAUUAUGAUGAUUAAACAAAGUGGACAAAAGGUGGUCAGAAAUAACCGUCGAACUAAACUGGUUACAAAAAUGGUCAGUAAUUUGUGACUAAAUCUUGACCACUUUAAUAUCAUCAGAAAAUGGUCAGAAAAAAAUCAGAAAGUGGUCAGAUUUUUCUAUUCAAUUUAAUUAUUUCUUCUGUUUUGUGUAGGGGUCAUAAAAUGGUCAAAAAUAUCGUGUGUGUAAUUAAUAAAAUCAAACAUGUCUAACCUAAUUUACACUUUCUCUUACCUUCAUCGUCUCAUCUUCAGCGGCGCGGAUCUCUACCUCGACAUCGAUUCUUAGAUGAUGACUACUCAAGAGCUAUUGGGUACCCAUGACAAGUACCUUCUUCAGUUAGUUUUCAUGUCUAAUUUGGAGCAAGAAGCACAAUUACGGAUUACAAACGAGAAGAUAGCUGUAGAAGAUGAAAAGAUUGCUAUGCAACCGAGAAGAUUUUUGUCACUGGAGAAAGACAAGGCUGUCAAAGAUAAGAUUAUAAAGUAUUUGCAGAACUUGCAACAUGAGAUUAUGAGUAAAUUUCUAGAACUGCUUGAUGCAGUUGAAGAUGCUAAGAAUAAUUCAGUAAUAAUUAUUAUGCUUGUAAUUUGUGGUUAGAACUUUAGUAAUGAGCAAUUGUAUCUUUAUCUGUUGUUUUUAAACUCUAUCUAUGUACUAUGCUAAAGUUAUUUCAGUGUUAAUUAUUUAGGUUUCAACUCUA